GCAAAAGUUAAUAUGCAUAAGGGUGUUUUUAUGCACAGUACAUAAGUGAAUGUCCACCAUCAGAUCCAAAUAACACGUGUAAUAAUCCCCCCUCUCAGCUCACACUUUCUCAGGUCUAAGCAUCACGCAUCAUCUAGCCAAAUUCGUUGCUACUUGUUUAUGCAAUUCUUCAUCCAUUUCCCCAAAUUCUAGGUUUGCAAUUUCAAUUUCAAAUCUGAACCCUUUUUUUUUUUCAUCUUUGAUUUUCAUUUUUCAUCUUUGAACGAAGGAACUCGAUUGCGACUGAUUUAGGUGUAGAUCGGUGAAAUCGGAGCACUUAGAUAAGAAACGAGCGACGGCGAUAUCAUCAUUGAGCUGAGAACAUGAACUGUUCGAUGCCGAAAGGUAUAUCUAGAUCUCAAUUUGAAUUGCGUUGAUGCCGAAAUGUACAUGUGAAUCUGAAUUUGGAUUUUGCUUAAUUUGUUUUUUAGAAGCAGCGUGUUGUGUCUACUGAAGAAGAAGAGCUUCAACAUUUCAUUGAGAAACAAAAAGCAUAUUAUAAGAAGAUUGAUGAAUUUCAACUUGAGGAGGAAGAAGUUGAAUCUAUUGAUGCGUGAUAUAAUAUUUUACUACUUUAGGUUAAUCCAUAAAUGUAGUAGUAGUAAUUGUUGAUUGAUGUUGAUAUAUAGUAUAUAGUGUUAAGGCAAAUGAAGCUGUUUAACAAUGAUAAUUACCAAUUACACAGAGUUAGUAAAUUGACCUUAGAAACUCUAUCUUGAAUGUGGUACAGUUUAUGUAUGAGUGUUUUAUGAAUGGGGUUUGUUCUCGAANNNNNNN
rnacentral:lncRNA from 1 species